rnacentral:misc_RNA from 1 species
GAAUAACUGGAGGAUGAUCCUGUGACGAUGACGUGGAUCAAUAUCCCGCACAUUGAUCACUCGUUCUGAGGCAUGAACGUCUUCAGACAUCGCCAAUUCCUUCGCUUCNNNNNNNNNNAAAUUGAGUACUACUCCACCGGCCGGCCAAAAAAGAUAUAUUGAAAAUGACUCUUAUAGGAACUGUCAGCUUAUGCAAGCGCCAUCCCGGAAACGGACGAUAAACGUUGAACAAAUAUCGAUCAGACCGCGGAUUUGAUCCCGAAAUCCUUGGGACUAAGAAUCAGAUCGGCCAGCGUAUACCCGUCCAAAGUUCCG